rnacentral:rRNA from 1 species
UAGUCCACACCGUAAACGAUGGAUACUAGAUGUUGGAGGGACUUAUCCCUUCGGUGUCGUAGCUAACGCAUUAAGUAUCCCGCCUGGGGAAUACGGCCGCAAGGUUAAAACUCAAAGAAAUUGACGGGGGCCCGCACGAAGCGGUGGAGUAUGUGGUUUAAUUCGAUGCAACGCGAAGAACCUUACCUGGACUUGACAUCCUUUGCAACACUGUGAAAGCAGUGGUUCUUUCGAGACAAAGUGACAGGUGCUGCAUGGCUGUCGUCAGCUCGUGUCGUGAGAUGUUGGGUUAAGUCCCGCAACGAGCGGCAACCCUUGUCGUUAGUUGCCCAGUAUUAAGUUAGGCACUCUAGCGAGACCGCUUGCCGAUAAGGCAGAGGAAGGUGGGGAUGACGUCAAGUCAGCAUGGCCCUUACGUCCAGGGCUACACACGUACUACAAUGGCUGAUACAAAGCGCAGCGAGACAGUGAUGUUAAGCAAAUCGCAUAAAGUCAAGUCU